rnacentral:rRNA from 1 species
GACGGACGCUGGCGGCGUGCUUAACACAUGCAAGUCGAACGAUGAAGCCGGAGCUUGCUCCGGUGGAUUAGUGGCGAACGGGUGAGUAACACGUGAGCAAUCUGCCCUUGACUCUGGGAUAACUGCGGGAAACUGUAGCUAAUACCGGAUACGACACCUUGGGGCAUCCCAGGGUGUGGAAAGAAUUUCGGUCAAGGAUGAGCUCGCGGCCUAUCAGCUAGUUGGUGAGGUAAUGGCUCACCAAGGCGACGACGGGUAGCCGGCCUGAGAGGGUGACCGGCCACACUGGAACUGAGACACGGUCCAGACUCCUACGGGAGGCAGCAGUGGGGAAUAUUGCACAAUGGGCGAAAGCCUGAUGCAGCAACGCCGCGUGAGGGAUGAAGGCCUUCGGGUUGUAAACCGCUUUCAGCAGGGAAGAAGCCGCAAGGUGACGGUACCUGCAGAAGAAGCACCGGCUAACUACGUGCCAGCAGCCGCCGUAA